UAAGUGGUUGCUGCCUCGUCCCAGACUCACACGUGGCCCUUGUAACCCGAUGACCGUGGCGGAGGAGAAGGCAAGACCAAGGGCAAGGAAAGGUCAUCAUCGUCUUCGUCUUCGUCGCCACCAGGAAGCCCAACACGAAGAAGGAAUGAAGGAUGGAAUAGGAAAAGAAUCAUUAAGUGGUUGCUGCCUCGCCCCAGACUCACACGUGGAGGAGAAGGCAAGAUCAAGGGCAAGGAAAGGUCAUCAUCGUCUUCGUCUUCGUCGCCAGCAGGAAGUCCAACACGAAGAAGGAAUGAAGGAUGGAAUAGGAAAAGAAUCAUUAAGUGGUUGUUGCCUAAUCUCGAGGGUCACGUCUGGUUGACCAUGGCGGAGGGCAGAGGCCGGGAUGAGGUUGCCCGCGUCACCGAACCAUGGAAAAUAUGCAUAAACUGGAAGAAAAAGAUAAAAAAAAAAAGAUGUUCGAUAAAAAAGAUGUUCGAUUCGGUUCACGUGACAUCCUCCAGACUCCUUGAAAUGUUAACCACGGAACUAUUUAUUAUUCUUACGUAACUCUUGAUUCAUCUUACUGGUGCUUGAGGGAGGGACUGGUUGGCAGGUGUGUGUGUGUGUGUGUGUGUGUGUGUCAGGGUGAAUGUAGUUAUGGGGUAGAUCACAAGACUCAUACCCCUCCCUCCCAAUACUUAAUCAUAUUCGUAUUGUACUCAUACCCCUACCCCUCCUACCCCUCCCCCCCAACACACACACCACCUCAUUAACGAAAGGGGGGGGGGAAGGAGGAGGAGGAGGAGGCAACAAGUGAAUGACGCAGUGAUUCAGUUGAUGCUUCACUGCGCUCGAACAAUAUGUCUCUCCUCUAUCUCCAGCGUUCCCUUACUCACCGCCUACGUACAUCGCCUUAUAGUAUUACGAAAUGUUGUAUAAAGAACUGUUGUAUAUGCCAAAUAAGUGGAUGCAAGUCGCGUUUAUGAAGGAAAAUGUCCAUAGCUGCGUCCGCCCGUGGUUGCUUCACUGGGUCGAAACGGAAUACCAGUCAGUCGAGUUGCCAGACGCUGCCAAGUAACCAGACGAUACUUACAUACUGCGUUACCAGAUUGUCGUACUUAGCCUCUUCAUGUUUUCCGAUUUCCGACCCCAAAAAUGUCUCCUCCACUCCAGUAACCACAUUUAUUUAUAGUUACCGUUGAAAGGUUUAAUUAUUAGUGUCUUUUUGCUAUAGUUAAGUGUCUAAAAAGAGCUGCUUACCAGAAUGUCGUACGUAGCCUCAUGUUUUCCAAUUUCCGACCCCAAAAAUGUCUCCUCCACUCCAGUAACUACAUUUAUUUAUAGUUACCGUUGAAAGGUUUAAUUAUUAGUGUCUUUUUGCUAUAGUUAAGUGUCUAAAAACGGUAAAUACAUGGGGAGAAAUCUUAGAAUGAAAGUAAAUACAAUGGUGGAUACGAUAAUUUGGCAACGUUGCUUACAUACACCAUUUGCUACCAGUCUUUCGGUGUGUGAGGGUAUCCGUUGAGGUCCUCGGCGGCGGCUGGACAACUCAACACGGUAAGAGGGAACUAUCGGAACUGUCACUGUGAACCUAUUGUGUCCAUGUGUUUGUGUGUGCUGGAAGAGAAGAUGGAAAGUGAUUGAAGUGAAGGUAUAGGUUUUGAGGACAGACAUGGAGACAGGUAUAAUGUGCGUGUGUAUUUGUGUGUGGUUCCAUGAUGUGACGGUAGGGGAAAAUGGCCACAGGAGUUUCGAGAGCAGACAGGUAGAUAGGUAUUGCGUGUGUGUAUUUGUGUGUGUGUGUGUGUGUGUGUGUGUGUGUGUGUGUGUGUGUGUGUGUGUGUGUUUUGUGCUGGAAGGAAAGAUGGGAACAUGAGAUUUGAGAACAGACAGACAGACAGGUUUUACAGCAGCGGACGAUCACGAAAAUGGCGAGCGAUCCGUCUUGUUGACCUAAUUUAAGUACUUUACCGUGACUGCAUUUGCUCACUGCUCACUCGUGCGUGCGUUCGUUCGUCGUGUACAGUGCGUCAUUUCCUCAUCGUCAUCGUAGUGUUGUAACGAUCGCCUCCACAUGUUCUAUAAGCCUAACUAGCGGCCGUUCGGUGCCUCGUUCUCUUCUAAGUAGCGACCAUCACAUCGCCGGCAGCUAGAAUCGUAACUCAUUUCUGAAUCACUUGUUUUAUUGUACAUAUUGCCUCUAGCUGCUCUGUACAUUUAUUUGCGUGUCAUUGCUGCAUCUUAUGACCGCCUUGACGUGACAGCAAACUUGGGUCAAUUAGAGGCGAGAGGGAACCAAGGUCAUUCUAGAUAAUUGGUCCACAUUUAGACCAUUAACAAGCUAUGACCGCCGUGCGUAACCCAGAGGACCGUAACCAGACCACACCAGAUUAAGGGGAACCAAUGUCAUUCCAGAUAGUUGCUCCACAUUUAGACAACUCACAAACCCCGCCUGCCGUAAGAAACCUAAAGGACAGUAACCAAACCACAUCUGAAUAAGGGGAACCAAUGUCAUUCCGGAUACUUGCUCCACAUUCAAACAGUUCACAAACCCCGCCUGCCGUAAGGAACCCAAAGGACAGUAACCAGACCACACCGGAAUUAUGGCAUGUGCCCCUUAUAAAAUUUAAACCAACCCCAAAUUGAAAUAGUUCAGAUCUUAAAGGGAGGCGUGAAAGGAGUCGAGUCUGAAUUUUAAUCUCGGAGCAAUGCGGUCCUGUCAUCUAGUUGCCCAAAUUAUGGCUGAGGAUAGUUUUGUGGUCACGAGUCCUCGAGAAUGGCCUUCUAAAAGACAUCAAAACUGUAGGGCAGGUCACCAUGGCCUUCCUCCCGCCGUCCUGAGCGCCCCAAGGCCCCGGGAGCGAGGUGGAGGCGGCGAGCAAGGUCUGAUAAUGUCUAAGGUGUCAAAAUGUCUGUACUCCACUUGUAAAGACCAUCAUGUGUACUUUCUCUCAAACCAAGGUCUGGGUGUACGGGUCUUCCAGCUGGGUUUGGUCUGCACACCUCCGCUGAUCCAUGAAAGAGUACCUUUGUCUUCUACACUUAAAGAUGCCUUGAAAUUGCAAUUCAAAUGGUGAAUCUUUCUAUUCAACAAAGGACCUUUUUGUUGUAGAUAUUUACUACUAACUCUUCUGUUCUGUGUUUGAAGGUUCCGUCAGCAACUGUAUUAUAAGUCAUUGAAGUUGUGAACUCUAAAUUCGUAAUCCUUUCCAUGAUCAUUUUGUCUGACAAGGUGGGGUCUUCCUCUGCUAAUAUUACUAAUAUCAAUUGGAAUUUCUAAACUGUUAUGUUUGUUCUUUUGUUGUUCAAUAUCUUAGGUCUAUUUUUAAACACUUGAAACAAAGCAAUUUAACUCUGUUGCUUGGCAAAUGUAAUAAAUUAAAGUCAUCAAGAGUCUAGGUGUGCCCAGAUGCUUUGCCCCCCGGACCUUGUUUAAGCUUCCGUCCUGAGCCCCUGAACACUGUACACCCAGGCCUUGGCAUCACCGCUCAGGCUCUGAUCAGCAGUGUGCGCCACAUGCUCCGGAGUGUUGUCAGUUGUCGUGUGUGUGAGGCGUCUUUAUUGUUUUUUGCAUUUUGGAUAUAUUUUGUUACCAUGAUUAAUGUAAAUAAAUGUAUAUUUACAGCAG